rnacentral:rRNA from 1 species
UGGGGAAUAUUGCACAAUGGAGGAAACUCUGAUGCAGCGACGCCGCGUGAGUGAAGAAGUAAUUCGUUAUGUAAAGCUCUAUCAGCAGGGAAGAUAGUGACGGUACCUGACUAAGAAGCUCCGGCUAAAUACGUGCCAGCAGCCGCGGUAAUACGUAUGGAGCAAGCGUUAUCCGGAUUUACUGGGUGUAAAGGGAGUGUAGGUGGCCAUGCAAGUCAGAAGUGAAAAUCCGGGGCUCAACCCCGGAACUGCUUUUGAAACUGUAAGGCUGGAGUGCAGGAGGGGUGAGUGGAAUUCCUAGUGUAGCGGUGAAAUGCGUAGAUAUUAGGAGGAACACCAGUGGCGAAGGCGGCUCACUGGACUGUAACUGACACUGAGGCUCGAAAGCGUGGGGAGCAAA